rnacentral:rRNA from 1 species
AUGCAAGUCGAACGAGGCUUACCUGCGGAAGUUUUCGGAUGGAAGCGGGUAUGACCGAGUGGCGGACGGGUGAGUAACGCGUGGGGAACCUGCCCCAUUCCGGGGGAUACCGGCUGGAAACGGCCGUUAAUACCGCAUAAGCGCACGUGAAGGCAUCUUCGUGUGUGAAAAACUGAGGUGGAAUGGGAUGGCCCCGCGUCUGAUUAGCCAGUUGGCAGGGUAACGGCCUACCAAAGCGACGAUCAGUAGCCGGCCUGAGAGGGCGACCGGCCACAUUGGGACUGAGACACGGCCCAAACUCCUACGGGAGGCAGCAGUGGGGAAUAUUGCACAAUGGGGGGAACCCUGAUGCAGCGACGCCGCGUGAGUGAGGAAGUAUAUCGGUAUGUAAAGCUCUAUCAGCAGGGAAGAAGAUGACGGUACCUGCACAAGAAGCCCCGGCUAACUACGUGCCAGCAGCCGCGGUAAUACGUAGGGGGCAAGCGUUAUCCGGAUCUACUGGGUGUAAAGGGAGCGUACACGGAAGGUCAAGUCAGGUGUGAAAGGCAGGGGCUCAACUCC